rnacentral:rRNA from 1 species
AACGAACGCUGGCGGCAGGCUUAACACAUGCAAGUCGAACGGGCAUAGCAAUAUGUCAGUGGCAGACGGGUGAGUAACGCGUGGGAACGUACCUUUUGGUUCGGAAUAACACAGGGAAACGUGUGCUAAUACCGGAUAAGCCCUCACGGGGAAAGAUUUAUCGCCGAAGGAUCGGCCCGCGUCUGAUUAGCUAGUUGGUAGGGUAAUGGCCUACCAAGGCGACGAUCAGUAGCUGGUCUGAGAGGAUGAUCAGCCACACUGGGACUGAGACACGGCCCAAACUCCUACGGGAGGCAGCAGUGGGGAAUAUUGGGCAAUGGGCGCAAGCCUGAUCCAGCCAUGCCGCGUGAGUGAUGAAGGCCCUAGGGUUGUAAAGCUCUUUUGUGCGGGAAGAUAAUGACGGUACCGGAAGAAUAAGCCCCGGCUAACUUCGUG